CAGAAACAGCAAAACACCAAAAAUCCGGGUAUGUAUUUGUCAUACAGUUAAAUAAUAUCAAUAAAUCGGUGAGUGCAUACUUUAGCCGUUAUUUAUCCGAUUGGGAGUAAAAAUUAAAGUGAAGAGGAUGAAAGCCAUUUUGAGUACAACAU